CCGCCGCCGCCCCGGCCGCUGCCUCCCUGGUGCGAACGCUUCCGACUUGCCACUGUGAGCCUCCCGGGCUGCGGAGCAUGCCCAGUCCGCUGCCCGACCCGGCCCGGCUUCCCGCGCGACGCGAAUCCGCUCCUCCGGUCCUCCAUAUCAAAAGCAAAACAGCCGCCUGCGGUGCCACCGCAGCGAAGCCAAUCAGAGCCGGGAAGGCCAGACCAGCUGUAACGACUGCGGGAGAGACUCACACCGCGUGAGGGCCGUUCCGCUGGUGGGGCCCCACCUCACACCCGCCCCUCCGAGUUGCGGGGAAAACCCGGAGAGGGAUCGCGCUUGAAAGGAAACACUGCGCAUGCCCAGUAUUCUGAGCUGGUGCAGGUUGCCCGAAGGAAGGUUUUCCUCGACUCCCUGAGCCGGACUCCUGCACCCGGGUUAGGUGCGGACAGCCGGGAGAGCUGGCCUCCCGACGCGGCGCCCUCCCUUUCUGGACCGUCCGCGCGGCACCCCGGUGGCGGAGAGGCAGCCCGAGGCUACGCCUCGGGUGGGGACGGAGAUUCGACCAGCGGGGGAGGGGUCGCGGGGCGGUAUCGCAGUGACACGUGACUGUCCGCGGCGCUUCGGGCAGCCAUCUUCUGCUGGGCCACCGGGCCGCGGGCGAUCGGAGCGCCCUUUUCCCCGCCACGCCCUCCCAUAAGGCUCUACCCUCCGCUUCACACCUGCCUGGGGCGCCGCAAUCGUUGCACUGGGGCUAGGAUUGCCGGGAGGACAGGCUCUUGCGGGGCAAAAAGCAAGAGCUGCGAGAAGCAGAGGGCAGCUCCGGGGGCGGAUGGCGUCUUCUUUUACCCAGAGGGGUCUCUUUUCCUAAAGCAAGAAGACCGCUGCUCCAGCCGCCUCCUCGUUCUAUUUCCUGCAGAAGAGGCGUGAUGUGUUGGCAGAAGCAUCUGGACAGAGUCCGUCGCUCUUCCCUGCAGUGCAAUAUCCCACAGCCCUUUCCGGUGGGCAGCUUGGAUGGUGAUAUUAAUAAUGAUUACUUACGGAGCUCCUGAAACAAUCCACUCUUUAUUAGAAACUUUCUUUUCCCAUCCCCUUCUGCCUAUAAAAGCCUUCCAUUUUGUAGAGUUCCUCAGAGUUCCUAUUUGCUACAUGGGAUGCUACUUGAUUAUGAAUUGUUGAAUAAAGCCAGUUUGAUCUUUCAAUUUA